rnacentral:rRNA from 1 species
AGGCCAUGUCUAGUAUAAUCUUUUACUUUGAACUGCGAAUGGCUCAUUAUAUCAGUUAUAGUUUAUUUGAUAGUCCCUUACUACUUGGAUAACCGUAGUAAUUCUAGAGCUAAUACAUGCGUCAAUACCCUUUUGGGGUGGUAUUUAUUAGAUUGAAACCAACCCCUUCGGGGUGAUGUGGUGAUUCAUAAUAAGCUUGCGGAUCGCACGGCUUGUCCGGCCACGGAUCAUUCAAGUUUCUGCCCUAUCAACUUUGGACGGGAAGGUAUUGGCUUACCGUGGCUUCAACGGGUAACGGGGAAUGGGGCGGGGGCCGCGGGCCGGGCGCGGGGCGCGGCCGGCGGAAAC